AUAUAAUUUCAUAUAAUCUUAACUGCUUUUAUAUGAAAUUAUAUGGAUAAAUUAUUAGGAUUUAAAAGUUGUUAAGAUUAUAUGGGAUAUAGAAAGAAACAGUAAAUAAGUGAAAGACGGUGAAUGAUUUACCGUUUUUAAAAGAAAUGGGAGAAAGCGGUGAACGAUUCACCGCCUUUAAAAGAAAUAAGAGAAAACGGCGAACGAUUCACCGUCUUUAUAAGAAAAUCCUGACGUGGCGCCUACGUGGCGAAAGGAGGGUUAGUUUUACAAAUAAAAUUUUCAUAUAGUUAUUUUGCCAAUUACAAUUUUUUAGAGGGUUAUUUUAUAAAAAAGCCCGAUUUCGAAUCACAAUAGUUAGACUCAUUAUAUAUUAC
rnacentral:lncRNA from 1 species